rnacentral:rRNA from 1 species
UACGGAGGGGGCUAGCGUUGUUCGGAAUUACUGGGCGUAAAGCGCACGUAGGCGGCUUUGUAAGUUAGAGGUGAAAGCCCAGGGCUCAACCCUGGAAUUGCCUUUAAGACUGCAUCGCUUGAAUUGUGGAGAGGUAAGUGGAAUUCCGAGUGUAGAGGUGAAAUUCGUAGAUAUUCGGAAGAACACCAGUGGCGAAGGCGACUUACUGGACACAUAUUGACGCUGAGGUGCGAAAGCGUGGGGAGCAAACAGG